UACGUAGGGUGCAAGCGUUGUCCGGAAUUAUUGGGCGUAAAGAGCUCGUAGGCGGUCUGUCGCGUCUGCUGUGAAACUCAGGGCUUAACCCUGAGCUUGCAGUGGGUACGGGCAGACUAGAGUGCGGUAGGGGAGACUGGAAUUCCUGGUGUAGCGGUUGAAAUGACAGUAGAUAUCUGGAGGAACACCGGUGGCGAAGGCGGCAUCCUGGACCGGCAUUGACGCUGAGGAGCGAAAGCCAGGGGAGCAAAGCGGG
rnacentral:rRNA from 1 species